ensembl:snoRNA
GUUUAGGUCUAUCCUGAUGGAGCUUUUUCUGUAGACCCGCAUCAUUAUAAAUGCUUCAUAGAGUAAAUAUGUACUUUGCUUUACUCAUAGAACUAUGGUAAAUCUGUGGGAAAGAACCACAAAACAGAG